ACGACCAAAUCUUAUUGAAACACAGGUUCUCGUACGAACACGGAAGUUAAGCAAUGUCGAACCUGAUCAACACCUAGAUGGAUGAUCGCUUGGGAAUACCAAGUGCUGUAAG